UCGAGGGGCAGCACAUGAAGUAGCGAUACGGAUGGUGGCGACCGGCGCACGGGUGAGUAACACGUAUGCAACCUACCUUCAACAGGAGGAUAACCCGUUGAAAGACGGACUAAUACUCCAUGACACAGGGGUCCCGCAUGGGGAUAUUUGUUAAAGAUUAGUCGGUUGAAGAUGGGCAUGCGUUCCAUUAGCUUGUUGGCGGGGUAACGGCCCACCAAGGCAACGAUGGAUAGGGGAACUGAGAGGUUUAUCCCCCACACUGGAACUGAGACACGGUCCAGACUCCUACGGGAGGCAGCAGUGAGGAAUAUUGGUCAAUGGAGGCAACUCUGAACCAGCCAAGUCGCGUGAAGGAUGAAGGUCUUAUGGAUUGUAAACUUCUUUUAUACAGGAAUAAAUUGGGGGACGUGUCCCCCUUUGCAUGUACUGUAUGAAUAAGGAUCGGCUAACUCCGUGCCAGCAGCCGCGGUAAUACGGAGGAUCCGAGCGUUAUCCGGAUUUAUUGGGUUUAAAGGGUGCGCAGGCGGGAUGUUAAGUCGGCGGUGAAAUUUUGCAGCUCAACUGUAAAAGUGCCUUCGAUACUGGCUUCCUUGAGUGUGGAUGAAGUAGGCGGAAUUUGUGGUGUAGCGGUGAAAUGCUUAGAUAUCACGAGGAACUCCGAUUGCGCAGGCAGCUUACUAAGCCACUACUGACGCUCAUGCACGAAGGCGUGGGGAUCAAACAGGAUUAGAUACCCUGGUAGUCCACGCAGUAAACGAUGAUUACUAGUUGUUUGCGAUACAAUGUAAGCGACUGAGCGAAAGCGUUAAGUAAUCCACCUGGGGAGUACGUUCGCAAGAAUGAAACUCAAAGGAAUUGACGGGGGCCCGCACAAGC
rnacentral:rRNA from 1 species